UCAAGUUGGUUGAGAUCUUGGCAUUAUACCUCCUUCUAAACUUUUUGAUGUUUUUAUGAUGAUAUUUCAUGAAGUGGUUUGUGAUUACCCACUGUGAAAAAUGGCAACAGUGGCAAACAUCCAAAGGCGGUUUUGUAUUUCCACCCCCCUGUUUGCAUUGUUCAGCUGCCUGAAUUGCUCUGUGCAAAUAGUUGAACAGGGGAAUGUGAUGGAAUGUGCUGCUCUACACUAUUUGUAGAAGGGCACAAAGGCUAAAAUAAAAUGUAACCUGAAUUAUUUCAACAACACUCUCCUUAGUGUUUAGGGCACACUUUCAUAGACGAAGAAUAAAUGAAAUUCCAGUGUGGUUUUAAAUACCUUCAUUUGUGUCCGGAUCAUUUCUACUCGUAACAACCUUGGAUACAGUUUUUUCUCUAAUGAAAGAAUACUAUGACUUUCUUUGAGAGUUUUAUAUAUAAAAUGCAAUAAAUUGAUAAAAUGAAAUCAUGAGAUUGACUGGAUAAUGGACUACAUAUUACUCUCUCAAAUCUGCUAGAAAAGAACUUUGCAGCUUUGUAUCAUCUUAUCUCAACUUUAUCUCUACCCAAGGUUAUAGCACCAAAUUCUGGGCCCUGUACACUCUCAAUGCCAGUGGGCCCCUAUGACAACUAAUGAUAGGUGGCCCAGGAUUGUCUUUAUACUUUCAGCAGCCUGGUUGGCAACUAGCUAAGCUAAAGACUUCACGUGAGCAUACAGACAUAAGCAGCAGCUGUCUGGAGUGGACUACAUUAACUUUCAUUGGACUUUGCAGAACAAGCAAACUGGGUUCAUCUUUGUGAAAGAAAGCAGUCAACAGCUGCCUCCCCUCAUUCUGCCUUCCUUCAUUUUCUUUUUUGAUACCAUGAUGAUGUCUAACCCCCAGGUCAUCCAAUCUGGGCUCUCUGACGUUACACUUGUUGCCGGUCUCUGUCGGGUAGACUAAACCGUCUUGCGCCUCCAAGAGGGGGCCCCCAGAAUAUCCAAUACGUUUGGAGGACCGUGACAUCAAGUUCAUUCUCUCAGUUGAUGUUAUCAAUAUAUUUGAAAUAAAUUAUGACACCAGUUAAUUGGAGGGCCCAAUCCAUUUGGGUGGUCAGGUCCCACCCACUCGGGUUGUGAGUGGUCAGGUCCACUUUCCCCCCCUCUACCACAUCCAUGUCUCUCCGCGUCAAAGCCUUACUGGUAUUUCACCAUGUCUCUUUUUUUUGGGUAAGGGAACAAGCAGGGAAAGGAACUGGUGGAGGUAAAUGGCUAAUGCCAGGAUGGCGGUCAGCCUCUUAUUCCUCCAUGUCUUGAAAGAUGCACCAGCUCUUGCUAAAUGACACACCAUCACCACUGAAGGCAGCAGCAGCAGCAUGCUUGCGAGUUUCCCCCACAGGAAGCCACUAAGAUCAGGAGCUCAAUAAAAGGCCACCCAUUGAUGGCUUCAUUCAGGGGUUUAUCCGCUUUGGUUCUUUUCCCGCUGGUGGAUUUUUGAGCUCUUGGGGGGGAAAAAGGAAAAAAAUCCCUGAAUACACCACCGAGAUCAGGACACACUGAACCAACUAGACUGUAAUGGAAAAUGAAUCAAAAAAAAAAAAAAACAUGGGAAAAAAACCAACAAAAAAAACCCUAUUUUUUUAGAGUACGCUUUGAUUAACAUUCCCUCUCAUUUCACAUGUGAUUUAUACCUGAAGUGUUAAAGAGUCAGUCAUAACUUCUUGUGCACGCUCGCCGAGUCAGACGGUAUUGCCAUGUUGUUUUUUUUGUAACACCUGGGCUUUUCCUGGAACAACAAGCUCAAAUCCCUGCUGUGAAAAUAGCCUGCUGCUUGAAAGAGAGGGAACAACACUUUUGUGAAUAAGCAGUACGCCACUAGCUUUAAUGGUGUUAACUCCCAACUCUCAACGUUGUGCUAACAAUUGGCUUUGAUUGAAGUGUUUGUGCUACCAGUUUGGACAGCGGUAUAAUCGGAUAAUUACAACAUCUGUGGGAGUUUAGUUGGAUAUUUUUGCUGAUUAAUUUAGCCUUUUGACUGUUUAAGAUAAAUCUGACAAACUACCAAAAAUGAACAAAGCCUAAGUGCUACAGUGCUGUCUCCACAACAACAUUUUAAAGCAAGAAGACAUUAAUUCUCUAUGUUCACCUUUACCAAGAUUCUGCUCCUGACCUUCAAAGCCAUUCAUAACCUUGUCGCUGCGUACUUUCCAACUGCCUUUACAUCAGCACCCCCUCUCACACUCUCAGAUCCUCUUUCCUCUCUCCACCUCGCUGUCCUACCCGCCAGUUUGGCCACCAUAGGCUCCGGAGUCUUCAGUCGUUCUGCUCCUUGACUUUAAAACUCCCUCCCCCAGCAUAUUCAGUUUGACUGUUGUUCACUUUUUUCAGUCGACUUUCAUUGUUUCAAUCACCGUUUUAACUUAUUUUGUGGACUUUUUUAUUUGUUUGUCUUGUUUUCACCUUCCCUAGAAAGGCGACCUUGAGCGCUUUGAAAGCCACCUAUAAAUAAUUGCAUUACUAUUAAUAUUAUUAUUACUUGAUAUGUCACUUUACCUUUGACGACAAUGACUUUAAGAGACCUUUAAGACCUGUCCUUUAAGAGACAGGCCAGUUUGUCUCUUAAAGUUUCUCUGUAUGAUCAGUAAAUGAUCAGGAAUCAUCAGUUAUUAUCUCCCUCUCUCUGAUACUCGUAUGGAUGGUCUUUUGCUGAUUAUCAUCAAGUGACCAAAGAAAUGAUCUUGUGUAUUAAGUCUCUCUUAUAGCUAGCUACCAUCGGAAAGAGCUGCACGUAUUUGUUGGAUGAGUUUUAUCAGAAAAAAAGGGACAAAAAUAAACGAAUGAACAUGUAAAUAAAUAAGGGGCUUUGUUAAUAUCUGUACAUGCAUUUCUGCCAAUGCAGCUAGUCUUUGAAGAUUAAAGGCAGCUGUCUAUUGAUUUACAACCAAGUAGAAUUAUCAAAUAUGUUAACCCUUAAGAAUCAUUCAAUCAUCUAAUUAGGGUGCCCUCAUCAGCUGUCAUGUGACGGAUGCUGCUUCAGUUGACAGGCUUUUGAAGACGCUGACUUGUCACUGGAAUAGCUAACAGCUAUACAAUAUGGCAGCAUUCACCCAUUACAUACAAAGAUGGAUGAAUCAACACACGAUGGACAAAAUUUGUGUUGGGUUGAAGUAGUCACUAUUGAAAAGUCCAGUCACUCGUGUGUUGUUUGUAAUACCUCAAAUUAAUAUUUGGCGUUUGUAUCAUAGUUUGACCCAUGCUCUGUGUGUUAUAAUGGAGGAGGUGAGCUUGAUGAGGUGGACUUGAGGAGCAGAAUGUUUUGGCCUCCCUUUUGAGAAGCUGUUAUGUCGUGCAUCUCUUUAUGAAGUCAGUGGCUUUGCCAAACAAAUGUUGGCCAUGUCCUCUGAGACAGACAGCUAUAGUUUAUAAGGACAAAUAUAACAGAAAGAAAACUCACAGUGAAGUCGAGCUACAGUUAUAGCUUCAUCAGGUGAUAACUGAACUUGUGCCGGGUACAGCGAAAUCUGCUUUACUGACAAUCAUGAUGGCCUCCACAGUUCAAGGUGGAGACAUGGGCCCUUUUCGUUCGUUACCAUCGGACUGCCUUACCGGCUAGCAAACAGGCUAGCAAGGGGCUUAUGUCAACAAUGCAAACACAUACAGCUUUACAGAGCUGGACAGGAGGUUUUCUUUACCACUCAGCUUCCCUCGGUGUAUUUAUGCUGUUUGACUUCAAGGUCAAAGCCUGGUGUGCAAACUGCAAAGCAUGCAUGGGAUGCUUAGGGCCUGUUUGAGUUGGAUUGAGGCGACAACAAGCAACCACACUGCCUAGGUGUGUUAGCCCAAAAAAUUUAACUUAUUGCAACUGGGUGAUUUUGAUUAGACUGGCAUGUGAUGUCUCUUUUGUCUGGAGAAGUCUAAAAAAUGUGCAAAAGUAUGAGUGACUUCAUGAAACAUCAACAUUGCUACGAGAAGUCUUGAGACGUAGAUCCACUUCUCAGAGUUUCAGCUGGUUAAGAACCCACAAAGGGAAACCCAGAUGCUAAUGAAUAAUUAGACACAGCUGCUGGAGUGAGCAGGAGAACACUUGAUUGUGGGAAGACAUCUGGUGGGCAGGUAGGGGAAAAAAAGGCUUGGAAAGAACAGAGAAGAAAAAAAGACCAUGGGAGAAGACAAGUGACAGUAACUGGAACUGUAAAUAACUCUUUCAUGUUUGUUAAUGUGUUGUAAUUUGCAUAAACUUUUACGUAAACCUCCAUUGUAUUUUAUUACCGGACUUACCAAUCUAAACAAGACGAUAAAGCAAUUUCUAAAAGGCAACAUUGCAGCCGUUAACCACUUUGUGUCAACUCUUACAAACUGUACAAGGCAAAUAAAAUAUCAAGAAAAGCACCAAAACACUGGAACUGUAUCACUCUUUAGGGUCAUUUUAGUACAUUGGCCUAUUUUUUUUCCAUUCAUAUCAGAUUUCCUGUGAUACCCAGAAUGACAGAAGAGAGAGAGAGUGAACAAGAGGCAUUAAAAGCCCUCAAAAAUCUCCCAGAAGAGUGAAACUAAAGGCCACUCUCAUUUAACCUUCACUAAUAUGGAGGGUGAAAAAUUGACAGGGCGGACAGACAGAGAGGAUGAACAAUGAAUAGAGAAGAGUGCCAGAAAAAUAGAAAUGACAAGCACAAGAGAUGACGAUUCAUCCAGGAAAACACACACACACACACACACACAGAAAAAAAUCUUAAUUAAGGACAGUCGGGAAAUCUAGCAGAGAAAUGAGCCUGAGACUAUAAAGGGCCAAAUAAAGAGACAGCCUCACCCUUCAAUCUUCCUCAUUUCUGCCCAGUUCCCAUACUGUAAGUAUUUCAAACCCUGGUACUUAAAAUGAUCCCAUCUGAAGAAUUUUCUCAAAGGAUCAUCAGAAUGGCACCAUAAAGACGGCAUAAUUCACGCCAGCUGAUAAUGACAAAUUGGCUUCAAUUUCCAAGAGCAAAUGGAUGUGAGAGGAGACCGUGAAGGCGGCGUGUGAGAUAACCCACAGAUGGCUGAAUAAAGAUGAAGCUGUAAAAAGGGGCUUCAUUUCGUAUUUUCUCAGCUUAAACUCGACACGGUCGACACGGCUUCGAAUUGCAACAGAAUUUGUUUGCUCAAAAAUGCAACAUGACGGGGGUCUCACCUGUGUGAACUAAAAGAACCUUAAAUUAAAUGCUAAUUUUAAAUACUAAUUAAAAAACUACUAAUUAAGAAACCAAAUAGCUGAAUGGUAACAAAAAAGCUUCUUCUAUGCAUUCUUGGCAGUCACACAGAACCAGGGGCUUAUAUAACCUACUAUCUAGCCUACACAAUAUUACCCUUUUUUUUGGGUUGUGGUCUUCGUCUCCAGCUGCCUAAACCUGUAAUUCUGAAUCGUGAAU